GCGCCGGUAGUGUAGCGGUUAUCACUGUGGCUUGCCAAGCCAUGAACUCGGGUUCGAUUCCCGACCGGCGCACCA
rnacentral:tRNA from 3 species